CCUACGGGAGGCAGCAGUGAGGAAUAUUGGUCAAUGGGCGGACGCCUGAACCAGCCAAGUAGCGUGCAGGAUGACGGCCCUACGGGUUGUAAACUGCUUUUAUACGGGAAUAACGCGCCUUACGUGUAGGGCUUUGCAUGUAACGUAUGAAUAAGGAACGGCUAAUUUCGGUCCCGCAAUCGGGGUAAAAACGAAGGUUGGGGCGUUUCCCGGAUUUAUUGGGGUUAAAGGGAGCGUCGGCCGCAUUUCAAGCGUACUGUGAACAGCCCGGGCUCAACCCGGGCCUUGCAGCGCGAACUGGCGUGCUUGAGUCCGCGGAAAGCAGGCGGAAUUCGUCGUGUAGCGGUGAAAUGCUUAGAUAUGACGAAGAACCCCGAUUGCGAAGGCAGCUUGCUGCAGCGGAACUGACGCUGAUGCUCGAAAGCGCGGGUAUCGAACAGGAUUAGAUACCCUAGUAGUC
rnacentral:rRNA from 1 species